rnacentral:lncRNA from 1 species
UUAUGAGAGAGGAGGACCUAUAGACUCAGUGCUGGAGAUGCAUUGGGGGCAGACGCACAAUCCAGACCUCUGCCUGAGAGCGGUCAGGUGCCAGGCUGGAGUAUUUCAGGGAGGACCAGGUCUCCUCUAGGUACAUCUUCACCACACCUUUCCCAGCCCAGGUGUGGAGGUAGCAGAAGCAUCCCUUUCCGAAAAGCCAUCCUUCCCUCUGUAGCGACUGGCCUCACUUCUGAAUAGCUUUCAUUUCUCCUGGUUAUAGAACCAAGGGUCUUCCGCCCAUGAAUCAACAGUCCAGUAUGUCUUGGAUUUGAAUCUGACACAUUAUUGCACUCAUUUUGAGGUAGGGGAGAAGGAUUGGACUUGUUAUCCUGGUAGUUAUUGCUUUGUUCCUCUCUUUCUCUA